rnacentral:misc_RNA from 1 species
AAUCAGAAUUGAAAGCAGACUUCAUAAGAAAAUGAAUUUACUAGUCGACUACUUUCCUGUUAGUGUAGCCUGAAAUCUGAUCAAUCUGUUGAUCUCUAUGUUCUCCAGUCAAUAUUCUAUUAUCUACUCUACAACCUAAUUAUGGUUAGGGUUAACUAGCUUUUAUCAAUGUAAAUAGUGGUUAUCUUUCUUCUUAAUUUCCACACACACACACAUGUUCCCUGCUGGCUGCUGCAGAAAAACUUUUAGU